CCCAUCACGUGCUCAGAGGUUUUCCCUACUUCCGAGUCCUCUCUGUCUUCGCUUUGGGACUUCUCGGCUUCGGAGCGUGAGAAAGGGAGGGGCUGGAGAACCCUGGAACCGCAGGUGGAAAGCGGCAUCCUGCAUUCUCUUCUUGUCCUUGGCCUCAUCUCUGCUAUGGGCUGUGCCACCUCUAUAUGCUCUUUCUCACCACCAGGCCUUCAGAAUGCAGUUGGAAAUGUGCCCUCUCGUCUGGGCGUGGUGGCUCAUGCCUGUCAUCCCAGCACUUUGGGAGGCCAAGGCAAAACAGGAACCACAAACCCCAGCUUCCUCUUGCAGAGUGGCUGUGGCUUGUAGGGGAGGCGGAAAUGGCUGAGGUGCGGAUACGAGACCUGAGUCACUUGAGCUGCUGUUGCCACAUGUCCCCUCCCUCUCCCCCUCCCCAGUUCUAAGGUCUCCUGCUCCCACUUUGUCCUUUCUGGCCUCUUGCUUGUCCUUUAUUUCCAAAUGUGCACCUGAGUCCCCUGUGUGAUGUACACCCAUUUCCCGGGCUGCAGUGGGGGCUACUGUGGGCAUCAGGCGCCGUGG